rnacentral:rRNA from 1 species
AUUGAACGCUGGCGGCAGGCCUAACACAUGCAAGUCGACCGAGUGGCGGACGGGUGCGUAAUGUCUGGGACACUGCCUGAUGUAGGUGGAUAACUACUGGAAACGGUAGCUAAUACCGCAUACCAUCGGAUGUGCCCAGAUGGGAUUAGCUAGUAGGUGGGGUAAAGGCUCACCUAGGCGACGAUCCCUCGCUGGUCUGAGAGGAUGACCAGCCACACGGGAACUGAGACACGGUCCAGAAUCCUACGGGAGGCAGAAGUGGGGAAUAUUGCACAAGGGGCGCAAGCCGGAUGCAGCCCGGCCGCGUGUAUGAAGAAGGCCUUCGGGUUGUAAAGUACUUUCAGCGGGGAGGCGUUACCCGCAGAAGAAGCACCGGCUAACUCCGUGCCAGCAGCCGCGGUAAUAC